AAAACAGUCCACUUUGUGGCCUGUUAUCGGAAUGGGUACAAUUUAAAUCUUUUAACGAGGAUCUAUUAGAGGGCAAGUCUGGUGCCAGCAGCCGCGGUAAUUCCAGCUCUAAUAGCGUAUAUUAAAGUUGUUGUGGUUAAAACGCCCGUAGUUGGUUUUUCGGUCUCGAAGCUCGGUAGCUCGUAUGGGCUUAACUGAGUCUUCCGGCCUAAAUUUCUUGUACUCUCCCGAUGCUCUUUAUUGAGUGUCUCGAGAUGCUAGAACGUUUACUUUGAAAAAAUUAGAGUGCUAAAAGCAGGCUAUACGCUUGAAUAAAGUGCAUGGAAUAAUGGAAUAGGACUUUAGUUUUAUUUUGUUGGUUUUCGAAAUUAAAGUAAUGAUUAAGAGGAACAGACGGGGGCAUUCGUAUUGUUGCGUUAGAGGUGAAAUUCUUGGAUCGCAGCAAGACGAACAACUGCGAAAGCAUUUGCCAAGAAUGUUUUCAUUAAUCAAGGACGAUAGUUAGAGGUUCGAAGGCGGUCAGAUACCGCCCUAGUUCUAACCGUAAACUAUGCCAACUAGCGAUCCGUCGGUGUUAAAUAUUGACUCGACGGGCAGCUUCCGGGAAACCAAAGUUUAUAGGUUCCGGGGGAAGUAUGGUUGCAAAGCUUAAACUUAAAGGAAUUGACGGAAGGGCACCACCAGGAGUGGAGCCUGCGGCUUAAUUUGACCCAACACGGGGAAACUCACCCGGCCAGGACACAAUAAGGAUUGACAGAUUGAUAGCUCUUUCUUGAUUUUGUGGGUGGUGGUGCAUGGCCGUUCUUAGUUGGUGGAGCGAUUUGUCUGGUUAAUUCCGAUAACGAACGAGACUCUAGCCUAUUAAAUAGACGAUAUAUCUUAUUAGUAUAUCGAGCUUCUUAGAGGGACGAGCAGCUUCUAGCUGCACGAGAUUGAGCAAUAACAGGUCUGUGAUGCCCUUAGAUGUCCGGGGCUGCACGCGCGCUACAAUGAAAAUAGCAGCGCGUUUCGAAAACCUUUUCUGGAAAGUAUUGGUAAACGCGAAAUAUUUUCGUGAUUGGGAUAGGGGAUUGCAAUUAUUGCCCUUGAACGAGGAAUCCCCAGUAAAUUCGAGUCAUCAGCUCGAGUUGAUUACGUCCCUGCCCUUUGUACACACCGCCCGUCGCUACUACCGAUUGGAACAUUGCGUGAGAUCUUCGGACUGACGUCGAAACGAACGUAAAAAUUCGAUUCGCGCGUUGGAAAGAUGCUCGAAUGCAACGUUCUAGAGGAAGUAAAAGU
rnacentral:rRNA from 1 species